GUCAGUGGGAGCAGGGCAGCACAACUAUACCACCAGAAGACCCUGGAGAACCUACACAGCUGAGUUUUGACUCCAGCUAUAAACUCUACACCAGAACUCUACCAUUGCUGGACUGGGCAAUAAACAAAUGAGAGACCUCCAGGCAUAGUGGCCUACCCUCAGGAGUCCAGAAGAACUGGGUUCAAGUCCUAUCUUGAACACAUACCAACUAGAUGACCACAGGAGCUGUGUGGUUGGACAGGGACAUGAUAACUUGGAGAGGUGUUCAACUAUAUAGGACUUUCCUUAACUGAGGCAAUGUCUUCAUCGGCUCCAUCUCCUCUCAGACCUCAUGAAUCCCUCAUGAAGUUGGCCUGGACUUGGGCUCCAUUUAGAGCUUUUCUCCAUAUCCGAGGAAGGCUGCCUGAGUUUUACUGAAACUGAAAUAACAGUUUAUGGUCUGCAGCUGGUUUCAACUACUUGAAAAAUCCAGCCAAACUGGAAAACAAGAGGGUGACUGUUCCCCCACACCCACAAAGCUCAGAAAUCAUGCGCUGCUCCGAGGUCAGAGGAAAAUCAGGGCACCACAGAGCUCUGAGCUAUGAUGGAUGGCUCAUUUCUUAGAGGUGGGAAAAAAAGGGAAACAGUGGACCUAGUUUGCACAAAAGAACAAAGGUCUUAGAGAUAGUCAAGACCUCUGGACUAAACAGUAGAGCAGGAGUUAGUUUGAUUUAUAGACCGUAUAGGCUGUAAAACAUCUUCUGAGGAUACAGUGUGCACAGUAUUACUUUUCGUUACAAAGAGGGAAGGGACUUUGCUUCUCAUCCCUAUCAUUGAUUUUAGAACCAAGUCCCUUGAUGGCCUCUUGCCUUAAUGCAUCAACUAUCCCAUAAUACUCCUGGUUCAUGCAAAUUAGAAAAAAGCAAAAUAAAAACUUUAAUUCAAUAACCAUUUUAGCAACAGUCAACUAGGUAGAUGAAUUUAAAUAAUCUCACAAAGUGUUUUUUUUCCUGACAAGUGUAUGUAUC